UUUUUCAUCUUAUACAGUGACACUUGCAUGUGAAAGAUGGUUG
rnacentral:sRNA from 1 species